rnacentral:rRNA from 1 species
AUUGAACGCUGGCGGCAGGCCUAACACAUGCAAGUCGAGCGGAUGAGAAGAGCUUGCUCUUCGAUUCAGCGGCGGACGGGUGAGUAAUGCCUAGGAAUCUGCCUGGUAGUGGGGGACAACGUUUCGAAAGGAACGCUAAUACCGCAUACGUCCUACGGGAGAAAGCAGGGGACCUUCGGGUCUUGCGCUAUCAGAUGAGCCUAGGUCGGAUUAGCUAGUUGGUGAGGUAAUGGCUCACCAAGGCGACGAUCCGUAACUGGUCUGAGAGGAUGAUCAGUCACACUGGAACUGAGACACGGUCCAGACUCCUACGGGAGGCAGCAGUGGGGAAUAUUGGACAAUGGGCGAAAGCCUGAUCCAGCCAUGCCGCGUGUGUGAAGAAGGUCUUCGGAUUGUAAAGCACUUUAAGUUGGGAGGAAGGGCAGUAAGUUAAUACCUUGCUGUUUUGACGUUACCGACAGAAUAAGCACCGGCUAACUCUGUGCCAGCAGCCGCCGCAGUAA